rnacentral:siRNA from 1 species
CACCCUCGAUUUGUUGUACACCGA